AUCCAGCGUACGAGUCCCAAAUAGGACGAAACGCGCGUCCUGGAU
rfam:Schistosoma rodhaini strain Burundi genome assembly, scaffold: SROB_scaffold0007897